rnacentral:rRNA from 1 species
UAACGGCUUACCAAGGCGACGAUCAGUAGCCGACCUGAGAGGGUGAUCGGCCACAUUGGAACUGAGACACGGUCCAAACUCCUACGGGAGGCAGCAGUGGGGAAUAUUGCACAAUGGGCGAAAGCCUGAUGCAGCAACGCCGCGUGAGCGAUGAAGGCCUUCGGGUCGUAAAGCUCUGUCCUCAAGGAAGAUAAUGACGGUACUGAGGAGAAGCCC